AAUUUGUAUAUGAAAAUUGACUGAUUUGAUGAGAGAAAUAUCAGUGUAUUAGAAUGUUUUUUGUUUUACAGACGAUGUGAGUUUAGUGGAGACAGCGAGUAUAAGCAGUUAUUGUGGAAAGGUUUGUGAAGGUGACUAGUUUGCGGCUGAUUGAUUGAAUCAAUGACGGAGUUUUGUAGUGAUGGAAUGUGAUGAUGUGUUAGCGCCAAGAGUGACAGUCAGUCAGUCAGUCAGUCAGUCAGUCAGUCAGUCUAUGAGACUGACUGACUGACACUGACUACUAGCUAACUUGCUUUGUUAUAAGUUGAGUAUUAUUAUUUUAUGUUUUUGUAAAUUGUUUGAGGAGUCUUAAAGGGUACUACGUGUAGGGAGGUUGUUGUUGAGAGGAUGAAGAUUAGUUUUAGAUGCAGAAGGAAGAAAGUAAAGUAAGUUUUUGUGCAUUUAGGGUUGAAACACUGAAUAAAUAAUGAUGGUCGUAUCCCAGACUUGUCAUUAUUAAUUUUUGAUCAAGUGUAUAUGUAAUGUGGGAGUUAUGUAUACAUUUGUUGUUUGAGUUCUUAAUAUUAAAUUAAUUAGUUAUUGAUAUAAUGGCGGGCAUAUAUGUAGUGUAGGAUCAAUAAAAUAUUUAUUAUUUUUUUCAGUUUAAGAAAUAUGUCAAUUAGUGGGUUAGAUAUUAAUACUUGAAAAAUUUACAAUUAUUUAUGAGUGAAAUGUCAUUAAUAUAUUUAAAUAUAUUUUUGUUUUUUUUCGAGUUGUUUAAGGAAAUAUUGUUGAAAGGUAUGUAGAGUGGAACGUCAAAUAUCCAAAUUUCUUUGGUGCAGAAGGCUAUUAAUACCUUUACAGAAUGAAUUAUUCCCGUCAAGAAUAAUGUAAAUUAGAAUAUUCCAUUUCAGACGUUAAAAAAUAUUUAUAAAAGCACUUAAGAAAAUACACUUAGAUAAUAUGUCGUCUUUGGAGUAAUUUGAUUUUUGAGGUUCCAUUGUAUUUAUUGUUGAAUUGUUUAUGUAAAUACUGAAAAUAUUAAGUGAUUAAGUUAUCAUUUGUUUCAGGUUGAGUGAUGGAAGUGACGAUUUAGUUAAAUGGUCAAAUUUAGUUGUGCGAGUUGUGUUGAGGCAGAGAGUUGAAGCAACUAAUUUAGAAAGGCAAGUGUUGUUAUUAUUUAGUUGUAGUAUUGAAAUGUUUUUGACUAUUGGCAAGUAAUUAAUGUAUUUUUUGUUAUUGCAGGUGAGAGUUUUUGAUAAGAUGAUUGGUAGUGUUGUUGGGAGUUUGGCAGAGACAGAGAAGGUUGUUGGAAGUGUAUGGUAGCAGCAACAGCAGUGGUGGUGGUGUGGGUUAAGAUAUUAUAUAGAUCAUGUUAGAGAGAGGGUUUUAAUGAUUUGUAAAAUAAUUUUUCAUAGUUAGUUAGUUAUUGAAUGAAAGGGAGGUAUAAUAGGUUUUGGUGACUUGUGGAAUGAGCAUUGUAAAAGCCAUAAUGACUUUGAACACUGAAAGAGUGAAGAUACUGCUGGUGUCCAGAGCAAAUUUUCAUUAAUGCCUACAAACAUACAGAGUUAAUGAUGAAGGUUGCAUCCCAGACUUUUCAUUGUUAAUAUGACUGCAAGUGUAUAUAUAAUGUGGGAGUUUAUAUAUGUUUGUGGUGUUUGAGGCAUUGUGUGGAGGGUUGCGUUUUGGAAAUACCGGGUAUUAAUGUACUCUGGAUGGGUUGAUUUGUCACUGUGAAAUGGUUAGUAACAUUGUUUGUGAAACAUGAUACCAAUAAAUAGAAGUUAUUAUAAUAAAUGUGAAUUGGUAGGAUUAUAGUGUAGGGAAGGGGGGGUUGGUUAUGUCUGGAAGGUAGUGAGGGUUAAUUGUGGGAAGUUGAGGAUAGAUGCAAUUCCGUAAAUGAAGAGCCCUUCAGCAAUGUUGCUGAACCUCAUGUGAGGGUUGUAGGGUUUGUUAGUUUUUUGAUGUAAUAAAUUUUUUUAAUAAGUCAGUUUAUAUAUAUUUUGUUCCUAUUUGAAAGUUAUAUUUGUGAAAUGCGAAAAAGUACAGAAUAAAAAUUUAUUUUUUGAUUUGUUAUAGGUGUAAUAUGUAUAUAAAAGUUAAUGAAAUUUCAAAUUAAAAUUAGAGAAACUGUAGAAACGACUUAGAAAUAAAAAAAAGAAAUGUAAAUUUAAAGAAUUUAGAAAAGAUAUAUAAAAAUUUAUAAAUUGAAAAAGUUUAAUUAAUUUUGUUGAGAUAGUUUAGAUAAAAUUUAGAGAGAUUGUUUGUUAUAGAAAUGUAAUUAGUAGUUGAAAUGAUUAGUUUUUAGCAAUGAUUGAUUGAUUUAAUUUUCAAAGUGUGUGUUUGAAUAGAAUAGGACAAAACUUGUAAUAUUUGAAGUAAAUGUCAUGAUAAUAAUAGUUCCAAUAAUAUGAAAUUAAACCAUAACUGCGGCUGGGAUUGAACCCGCGGUCACUCCAAACUACAGACUGUUUUUGAAAAUGAAUAUAUUAUUGACAAAGUUGAAUAAAACGUUUAUCCAAAUUUGUUAGAAAUGAAUAAUAUGGUUUCAUGUCAUGUGUGAAUAUAGAAAUUAUAAUUUAGGUAUUUUGAGCAUUUACAGAGAAAUAUACAAAGUAUGUUUUUUUAAUGGAAAGAUAAAUAUAGAAAUAUUUACAAUGAACAGUUGAAAUCAUGUUUAUUAACUUGAACAAGUGUAAAUUAUUGUUUCAACGUCAUUUAGAGAAAACUAGUCAUGAAAAUGAAGGAAAUGGUCAAAGUGCUUUGAGCAAAAACAUUGUUGUUUAUUUUAUUCAAUAAAAAAUUACUUGUUACAAAUCACAUUCUGAAUCAUAGUGACAACAAAUAAUUUGAGUCCCUUUGUUUUAUAAGAAACCCUAGUUGAUUUUAUACAUUUUAAAUUCCAGUCAGUCUGUUCACAUUGCACUUUGAAAAAAGAAGUUAGUAACCAGCCAUAAAGACGAGCCCCACACCCUUUCACAAUACUCGUCUGAAAAAGUGUGCUACCAGGAUUUUUAAUACGAAUACAUUCUCUAUAAAACUCGAUGUCAAACAUCUUUUUGCAUAAUUCAGAUAUAUAUAUAUGAUAGAUGGGAAAAGGGUACAACAGAAUAAAACUAGAUUACAAAGAUCGUCAAAGAUGACAGAGCGUCUAAUGAAUUUACUUUCAUGACAUUUGCUGCUAGAAAAUUUAAAACCCGUGUGUCAUGGGCCCAAUUAGAAACAAACAAAGUCAACCACAUUUCAUGGCCUACACCAGCAAUAAAGUUGUUUGGUCGAGGGUCCAAUUGCCAUUUCGAUGGCAAAAAGUGUCCUUAUAGGUGAUGUCAACAAUUUCGCCAGUAAAGUAGUGUCGUAAAUGACAUGGCGAA